GAUUUUAUUCACAUUAAUAAGCAGAUUAAACUUCCGAUUGUUUACACUAAUCAAAUUAAAUAUCACUUAAAGACUAAUCAAGAGAUUUAUUAACAUGAAAAGGGCCUAGGGUUUUCUAAUUGUGACCAUUAAGAUUACCUCUGAAGAAGCUCUCUCCCUCCUUCACACUCAAAUCGCAAACGACAGCGCACGGAAACGGCACCGGAGCUACUCCUCCGUUCAAUACUUCCGAUCGAACAAAAGGCUUACUCACGUCGUUCAUCUCUCCGAGUUCAUCUCUCUCGAUCUCAACCGUGAACAGUCGAAACAAAUCCACAUUGCCUUUCGUCUCAAAAAUCUUAGAUGCAUUUCAUCUCCGACGAGACCUUUCUCCGCCGCCGUGGACAAGAAGACGUGACCACAUCAUCUCGUCUCUUCUCUUAGAACUCAGUGCCGCUCGUAAUCUCUCAACCUUUUUCAGACGCGAAUCGAAGCGAGGAAAUCCAAAUAACGAGCUUCCGAUUCUUCAGGUGGAGGUGAAGGUUGAAAUGAUGAGCGAUUCAAAGACGAUGUCGUUGUUCGUGGUGGAGGAGAAGCAUAUUUAGCUAUGGCGAUAUUGACGUUGCAGAGGAGCUUGAAGAUUAUGUUGAAGGUUCGUAAUUUUGAUCGAUGAAGUGAAGAUGAAAGUUUGGUGAAGAUUCCAGAGUUUGUGAAGGAUUCUCAAUUUGUGUUCACGAUUUUUGUUCUAUCUGAAGUUCACUAGCAAGUUUCUUUUGUGUUGAUGAUUGAAGAUGAUCGUGAAGUGAUGGAAAUUCUGAAAGAGAGAAGAAGAUUGGUUAUCGAGGAUUCAGUUAUGGCUGAGAAGUUUGUUACGAAUCCAUUUUUUUUUCUUUUGCAGGUUUUGUAAUUUUUUGUUAUGAAGAGGGAGAUGAAGGUUUUGAGAUUGAAGAGGUGUUGAAGAAGGUGGAAAAAGGUUAAAGAUGAAGGUGGUUAGGGAUGAACGCUGGAGAUUGGAGAAAAGAAGGUAGUUGAAGAUGAUUGGAGAAGGAGGAGUAUGAAGUUCGAUGGUGAAGGUUGGUAGAAUGUUCAAAUGUGGAAUCGGUUUCUUCUUCCCUUUUGCAGUAGACGUUUUUUUUUGUUUCUUCUGUAACUCCAAAGAGCAGGGCCCAUGUUGUGAUUUGCAUCCUCUUGUAAUUAGUCAUUUUUUGUAUAAUUUUUGUAAUGGACAUUUAAUAGUAGGCUUUGACCUUUGAUGUAAUAAUGGAUUUUUGAAAUGUAUGAAUUGGAUUUUAGACAUAUUUGAAUGGUUGAACUUGAAUAUAGAAUAGUGUAAUAGUUUGAAUUUUUUUGUAUGAAUUUUGUAGAAACUUGAAUAAUGUAAAACUUGAUGAUAAAUCUUGAAUAUUUGAAUUUGGGAUUUCUAAUGAUGUGAAUGAUAUUUGUAUUUAGGUCUUUGAAUAAUAUCCGAACUCGAAUUA